UACAGAGGGUGCAAGCGUUAAUCGGAAUUACUGGGCGUAAAGCGCGCGUAGGUGGUUUGUUAAGUUGAAUGUGAAAGCCCCGGGCUCAACCUGGGAACUGCAUCCAAAACUGGCAAGCUAGAGUAUGGUAGAGGGUGGUGGAAUUUCCUGUGUAGCGGUGAAAUGCGUAGAUAUAGGAAGGAACACCAGUGGUCGAAGGCGACCACCUGGACUGAUACUGACACUGAGGUGCGAAAGCGUGGGGAGCAAACAGG
rnacentral:rRNA from 1 species